CAGCAGGUAGUUUAAGCAAAAUAUUAAUUUUGGAGGUUGAUGAUGGGAUUUUCUUUCUGCUGA
rnacentral:tRNA from 1 species